GACGAACGCUGGCGGCGUGCUUAACACAUGCAAGUCACGGGGGUCUCGGGGCAACUCGGGAUAACCGGCGAACGGGUGCGUAACACGUAAGCGACCUGCCGAUUCGCGGGGGAUAGCCGGCCCAACGGCCGGGUAAUACCGCAUACGCUUGCUGGGUUUCAUGGCCGGGCAAGGAAACCUCCGGGGAACCGGGAGGGGCGGAUCGAGGGGCUUGCGGCCUAUCAGCUAGUUGGUGAGGUAACGGCUCACCAAGGCGGUGACGGGUAGCUGGUCUGAGAGGAUGGCCAGCCACAUUGGGACUGAGAGACGGCCCAGACUCUACGGGAGGCAGCAGUGGGGAAUCUUGCGCAAUGGGCGAAAAGCCUGACGCAGCGACGCCGCGUGGGGAGUGACGC
rnacentral:rRNA from 1 species